rnacentral:lncRNA from 1 species
UGGAUGGAGGGCAGUGAGAGGAUGUGUGUGAACUUUCUGUCAUGAAGGGCAAUUUGCAGGAACUAAUCAUCUUACAAUAGUUGGUCAUAAGAAAGAAAUCCAUCAGCCAAGCAUCCUGAAUAGUGACAGGUUGACAGAUAUCUACCCACUGUGAUGGACAGAAUUGUGUCCCCCGAAAAAUCCAUAUGUUGAAGUCCUAAACUCAGUAUCUCAGAACGCUGCAGUGAGAAGAAUGCCUCCAGGACAAGUGGCUGUCAGGAGUGGGGAAAUCUAGGAAUAUUCUGGACAGGAUGCUGCUCAUGCCCGCCAGAGAGAACUUCCCAACACCUGUCUUUCCAGGGAGUACUGGAACACUAAAGUUACCUGCAUCAGGUAACUUGCCUGCCGCAGGGCUGCGGAGUUUCCUAAGAGGGUCUGGGAAGGACAAGAUAAAAGAGACUUCCAAGCAUGGGAAAGAGUAGGCCAUUGCUCCAGUGGCAGUGAGGCUAAGGACAGAAGACAGAGAGAACCAGUAGAGGACCAUCUUCACAGGGACAUGACGGUGGACUCCAGGGAUAGUGAUGUAUGGUAUCUUGUUUUAGAUUUCCUUUUCUCUGUAGUAGUUUGUUGAACAUCAUUACCUCAUGUUGUUGUGUUAGUAAAUAUUGAUGAAUGAAGAGAAGGUUCUGUAGCCAUGCUUUGGGGGAAAGUGGAAUAAAAAGGCUG